AACGAACGCUGGCGGCAUGCCUAACACAUGCAAGUCGAACGAGACCUUCGGGUCUAGUGGCGCACGGGUGCGUAACGCAUGGGAACCUGCCCUUAGGUUCGGAAUAACUCCCCGAAAGGGGUGCUAAUACCGGAUAAUGUCUUCGGACCAAAGAUUUAUCGCCUUUGGAUGGGCCCGCGUUGGAUUAGCUAGUUGGUAGGGUAAAAGCCUACCAAGGCGACGAUCCAUAGCUGGUCUGAGAGGAUGAUCAGCCACACUGGGACUGAGACACGGCCCAGACUCCUACGGGAGGCAGCAGUGGGGAAUAUUGGACAAUGGGCGAAGGCCUGAUCCAGCAAUGCCGCGUGAGUGAUGAAGGCCUUAGGGUUGUAAAGCUCUUUUACCCGGGAUGAUAAUGACAGUACCGGGAGAAUAAGCUCCGGCUAACUCCGUG
rnacentral:rRNA from 1 species